GAUCGCGUGGCCGAGAGGUAAGGCGGCGGGCUGCAACCCCGUCCACGCAGGUUCGAUUCCUGCCGCGGUCU
rnacentral:tRNA from 2 species